rnacentral:rRNA from 1 species
UACGUAGGUGGCAAGCGUUGUUCGGAAUUAUUGGGCGUAAAGGGCGCGUAGGCGGCCACUACAAGUCACUUGUGAAAUCUCCGGGCUUAACUCGGAGCGGUCAAGUGAUACUGUUGGGCUAGAGUGCGGAAGGGGCAACUGGAAUUCUCGGUGUAGCGGUGAAAUGCGUAGAUAUCGAGAGGAACACCUGCGGCGAAGGCGGGUUGCUGGGCCGACACUGACGCUGCAGCGCGAAAGCUAGGGGAGCAAACGGG